rnacentral:tRNA from 1 species
GCCCAGUUGGCUCAGAUGUUGGAGCAUGUGACUCUUGAUCUCAAGGUUGUGAGUUCAAGCCCCACAUUGGGUG